rnacentral:rRNA from 1 species
UGGGGAAUAUUGCACAAUGGGCGCAAGCCUGAUGCAGCCAUGCCGCGUGUGUGAAGAAGGCCUUCGGGUUGUAAAGCACUUUCAGCGGGGAGGAAGGCGUUAAGGUUAAUAACCUUGGCGAUUGACGUUACCCGCAGAAGAAGCACCGGCUAACUCCGUGCCAGCAGCCGCGGUAAUACGGAGGGUGCAAGCGUUAAUCGGAAUUACUGGGCGUAAAGCGCACGCAGGCGGUCUGUCAAGUCGGAUGUGAAAUCUCCGGGCUCAACCUGGGAACUGCAUUCGAAACUGGCAGGCUAGAGUCUUGUAGAGGGGGGUAGAAUUCCAGGUGUAGCGGUGAAAUGCGUAGAGAUCUGGAGGAAUACCGGUGGCGAAGGCGGCCCCCUGGACAAAGACUGACGCUCAGGUGCGAAAGCGUGGGGAGCAAACAGG